UGCCGGGGCCCGGCUUGCCCUCAAAAAUGUAGCUGUCGUCUUUCUCUCAACACGGUUAUCCCGCAAAUACGACUAGUCAUUACAAUAUUAAAAAGUUAAAUGUUUGUCGUCAAUUGUUGUCUAAUAUAAUAUCAAUCGUCUCUAUAGUAGUUUUUGUUGUUUUAGGUAGGUAGGAAAAUCUUUUAGAAGGUAAUAAGACUAGCAACAAUGCCAGACUGGAUCUGGCUGCUGGGCGCGGCGCUGUUCGGCGCGGUGGCUGCGCUAGCGAUCCCCGUCGCCAUCCUGCUGUACUUCCUGAGACCUUUCGACAAGACUCCCCCGGCCGACGACCUGUCCAGGCGGCCGGUUACUUUACCGGCGGAGGUACUGAGCGAGCUGACGCGCGGCGCGGGCAGCACACCAGAGGGCGCUCUCAACGCCAUGCUGCAGUUCAUCUUCCAGCAAAGCACGGCGGACACGCGCUGGCUGCGCCGGCGCAUGGCCACGGAGCUCGCUGAGCUGCUCGCCAAGACCUCGUCGGGGAAGAUCUUUGAGUCGCUCACGCUUCGCUCUUUAGAAGUGGGCACAGAGUUCCCCAGCAUCACGGCGUUGCGCGUGCUGAACGGAUCGCUCGAGGAAGACGGCGCUCGGCUGCGCUCGCUCGACCUGGCCUGCAACCUGGCCUACGACGGCAACUUCAAGAUCGACGUCGACGCUGUCAUGCUGCUCGGGAAGAUCGCCAACAUCUCCAUCACAGUCGAGAGCCUAAGCGGAAUCAUCCGAGUAAUGUUCCGCCGCAACCCGUACACCCACUGGGCGCUGGCGUUCGAGUCCCCGCCCAAGCUCGAGCUCCGCGUCCGAGGCCGUUUCCAGGGGAGACAGCUCAAGCCCCGGCUGGCGUCGCUGGUCGCUGCACAUAUCAGGAGGGCGGUGGCACAACGCCAUACGUUACCUAAUUAUAAGAUACGAUACAAACCAUUCUUCCCGAAAUCUGAGCCAGGCGGAGCGGAGGGUGAAGAAGGCCCAACGCCACACGGCCGGUUGACCGUCCGCCUAGUGGAGGUCACCAGGCUGCAGUGGAACGGAGGCGCGGGGACAGUCCGUGCCGCUUUAGCCGUCGACUCGCAUGGUUGGGUGUCCCUCCGGCGUGGAGUACUGACGCUAGACGUACUGUUACCAGCCAUGACUGGCGCACUCGGCCUCGUGUGCUGCCAGGGUGUAGGGGCUGUACUUGUGGACACCGUGGUGCCCAUGUCACCGGCGUACCGCGCUGAUCUACGGCGAGAUGACGUCGUGCUGGCCGUCGAUAACAAGCCGGUCUGCAAUGUGGCACAGGUUGGCAAGCUCCUCCGCCUAAUUGAGCGGCGAGCGGUGACGAUCCGGCUCCGUCGCGGGGGCACCACGCCGCCGGUGCGGCGCGAAGACUCGACGGACGGCCGCCGCGCGCGCACAAACUUCAGCUUCCGAAGAGUCUCUGAGGUCAUGGAGGGCGUGCGGCUGCAGGGCAUGCGCGCGGCUGCGUCCAAGACCAGCCUGCACUCGGAAGAUUCAACGAAAGCCCCGGAAGCUGCAGAGACCGAAACCAAAAAGGAGCCCGUGCGUCAACUGUCCAAGUCCGACUCCCCCUCGCCCUCCAACUUCGGGCUGCGCAAGCGGCGCUGCUCCGUCGAGAACAAGUCUUCCGACAGCUCGGCCGGCUCCACGCCGCCCGCCUCCGGCGCCAGCACCCCCCUCCGCCAGUCCACCAAGCCCAAGCACGAGAUCCCCAUCAUACGCACCGACUCCUCCGAGUGCAGGCCGGAAAAACCCGAAGCCGAAGAAGAAGAUCAGAUCUUCGAAACCGGAGGCCCCCGCCUCACAGAGCACGUCGAGAUAUGCCAAAUGUUCUGGACUAAGAGUGUCCCUCUCAAACCUAUCAUACCAUUCGACGAAGAGACAGAGUUCAAACUAAACGAGAACCAUAAGUAUCUUAAUAUCAACGUCUGGGCGACGAUGGCGGGGGAGAAGGACGAGGUUCUACUCGGUUAUUUGAACAUUCCUUUAGCGGCGCUAUUGUCAGAAUGUCAAGAUUCUACCGUGCCGCAUCAUAUGAAGCGGUAUCAAUUUCUUCCACCCGAUGUCGAUAUAAAGUUUAGCAAAAGCCACAAGCUGUCAUCUCACGCAGGCUUCGAGCCGUGCCUGUGUUUCGGCGACGCGCUGGUCUGGUGGGAGUGGGAGGGGGCGGGCAGCGCGCGACACGCGCCGCGCGCGCCGCCACGGGAUGUGCCGAGGCCGCCCAAGCCCGUGCGGGCCGCGCACGACUUUGUGCGCACGCACUUUCACCGCUCCACGCAGUGCGAUUUCUGCAAUAAAAAGAUAUGGCUCAAAGACGCAAUGCAAUGCCGCAACUGCGGUCUGUGCUGCCACAAGAAAUGCGUCACCAAGUGCCAGGAGUCAUCGCCGUGCGUACCGGUGCAGGGACGAGAUUCUCUGACCGGCGGAGCAAUGGCGCCUCCGGAGCUCAUCACGACGGAACCUGACUCCAAUGUGGACCUGGACUCGGAUGACGAACCGGAAAGGAAAGACUCGCUCGACGUCCACGAAGAAGACGAAUUAUUCGAAUGCUGACGAACGGGGCACAUAUUUUAACAGAUCCGGACUCUUCCAACACUCACGAACACACAUACAGGUGGCGGCGCCAUGAGCGCGCUGGUGGCGGGGCUCCGGCGCGCGGGCUCGGCGCAC
rnacentral:misc_RNA from 1 species